GCAGCCCCAUGGAGGAGUCAAGGGUCUUAGCUGUCUUCAGAACCAAAGGAUCCCAGUUACACAAGCUCCCAUGACCUGACCAUCUGUGAAAGGAUGCUUGGUUUUGCAAUGCUAAGCUCUUUCUACAGAGUUUUGUACUUCAUCCUGAGAGAGUUGUUGAAAAAAAGGAACCUGUUAUUUCAGUAGAUCUACGGAAAUGAAAGCACACCUGCUCUGCACUCAGCAGACCUGUGAGGUGAGGGGAAGAAAAAUGAUCUGCCAACUGAGCAUGAGAGCCUUACGGAGAAGGGGCUACUGAGAUAUGUGAGAGCUCAGUGGGGGACUCCUAGAUGAACAAGGUAAGGACCCUGCUCUAGAGAAACUAGGAAGGGGAGUGAGGGAGACAGAUGAAUUCUCAUCCAAAAGUCACAUUUUAAAAAAAUG
rnacentral:lncRNA from 1 species